rnacentral:rRNA from 1 species
UGCCAGACUCCUACGGGAGGCAGCAGUGGGGAAUAUUGGGCAAUGGAGGAAACUCUUACCCAGCAAUGCCGCGUGAAUGAAGAAGGUCUUCGGAUUGUAAAGUUCUUUAAUUGGGGACGAAAAAAAUGACGGUACCCAAGGAAUAAGCCCCGGCUAAAUACGUGCCAGCAGCCGCGGUAAUACGUAUGGUGCAAGCGUUAUCCGGAUUUACUGGGCGUAAAGGGAGCGCAGGCGGCGCGCCAAGUCUGAUGUGAAACCCCGGGGCUCAACCCCGGGCAUGCAUUGGAAACUGGCGGGCUGGAGUGCCGUAGAGGUAAGCGGAAUUCCUAGUGUAGCGGUGAAAUGCGUAGAUAUUAGGAGGAACACCAGUGGCGAAGGCGGCUUACUGGACGGCAACUGACGCUGAGGCUCGAAAGCGUGGGGAGCAAACAGGAUUAGAUACCCCUGUACG